GACGAACGCUGGCGGCGUGCUUAACACAUGCAAGUCGAACGGAAAGGCCCUGCUUUUUUGGGGUGCUCGAGUGGCGAACGGGUGAUUCACACGUGCGUAACCUGCCCUUGACUUUGGGAUAACUUCAGGAAACUUGGGCUAAUACCCGAUCGGAGCUCCUGCUGCAUGGUGGGGGUUGGAAAGUUUCGGCGGUUGGGGAUGGACUCGCGGCUUAUCAGCUUGUUGGUGGGGUAGUGGCUUACCAAGGCUUUGACGGGUAGCCGGCCUGAGAGGGUGACCGGCGACAUGGGGACUGAGAGACGGCCCAGACUCCUACGGGAGGCAGCAGUGGGGAAUAUUGCACAAUGGGCGGAAGCCUGAUGCAGAAACGCCGCGUGCGGGAUGACGGCCUUCGGGUUGUAAACCGCUUUCGCCUGUGACGAAGCGUGAGUGACGGUAAUGGGUAAAGAAGCACCGGCUAACUACGUG
rnacentral:rRNA from 1 species